rnacentral:rRNA from 1 species
AGCUCCAAUAGCGUAUAUUAAAGUUGUUGCAGUUAAAAAGCUCGUAGUCGGAACUCGGGCUGGGGGCUUGUGCCCAGCACUGCUGCGUUUGCACAAGGCCCUGGUCUUCCUUCUGGGUUGUUUUCUGCUUUCUCUUUGGGGGGGUAGGAAGCUGCUCAGGACGUUUACUGUGAAAAAAUUAGAGUGUUUCAAGCAGGCGAAAUUAUAUUUGCUUUGAAUACAUUAGCAUGGAAUAAUAGAAUAGGACUUGGCUUCUUAUUUUGUUGGUUUCUAGGAAUCAAGUAAUGAUUAAUAGGGACAGUUGGGGGCAUUCGUAUUUCAUUGUCAGAGGUGAAAUUCUUGGAUUUAUGAAAGACGAACAGCUGCGAAAGCGUCUGCCAAGGAUGUUUUCAUUGAUCAA